UACGUAGGGUGCGAGCGUUAAUCGGAAUUACUGGGCGUAAAGCGUGCGCAGGCGGCUUUGCAAGACAGAUGUGAAAUCCCCGGGCUCAACCUGGGAACUGCAUUUGUGACUGCAAGGCUAGAGUACGGCAGAGGGGGAUGGAAUUCCGCGUGUAGCAGUGAAAUGCGUAGAUAUGCGGAGGAACACCAAUGGCGAAGGCAAUCCCCUGGGCCUGUACUGACGCUCAUGCACGAAAGCGUGGGGAGCAAACAGGAUUAGAAACCCCAGUAGU
rnacentral:rRNA from 1 species